rnacentral:rRNA from 1 species
CGCCUCUUGAGUAAAAUAAGAGGUCCAGCCUGCCCAGUGAAAUUAUUUAACGGCCGCGGUAUCCUAACCGUGCGAAGGUAGCGUAAUCACUUGUUCUUUAAAUGAGGACUAGUAUGAAUGGCACCACGAGGGUUCUACUGUCUCCUUUUUUAAAUCAGUGAAACUAAUCUCCCCGUGAAGAAGCGGGGAUUUUUUUAUAAGACGAGAAGACCCUAUGGAGCUUUAAACAAACAUCAUUUGCUGCACAUAACACUUUUACCUUCAAUAAAUAUAGCAUUAUGACCUUUAGUUUUUGAUUGGGGUGAUCACGGAGUAAAAUGAAACCUCCACGCCGAAAGGGUUAACACCCUGAGCAAAAAGCCACAACUUUAAGCACUAAAAAAUUAACGUAACUUGACCCAAUAUUUUGAUCAACGAACCAAGUUACCCUAGGGAUAACAGCGCAAUCCACUUCAAGAGCUCCUAUCGACAAGUGGGUUUACGACCUCGAUGUUGGAUCAGGGUAUCCUAGUGGUGCAGCCGCUACUAA